AAGACUGAGAAUUCAGCCCUAGAGAAUUCAGCUCUGGUUGUGAGUGCCUCUUUUCCAGGGCAGAGACUUCUGGAAAAGCAGAUGGAGCCUUGUGGAAUGGGGCUCUCUGCCUCAUCUGGGGAGUGACUCUCGAUUCCCCUCACCUGUCCCUCCCAUCACACCUGGGCUUCUUUGCGGUGACAGGUGUGUGUCUGGAGAGGGAGUAGAGUGGAACGCAGGUUUGGUUGUGGGAUGUGGGGGUCGCAGAGGUGCACCCUGGGAUCUGAAGGCUGGCCUCUGUCCUCCCAUCUGGACGGGCAAGGAGCUCAGCCUCCCAGACUCUGCUUUCUGACUCAUCUAAUGGCAGUCCUCAUAAUUUCCUCCUAGGAUGGUUGAGACGGUCAAAAGGAAAGCAGAAAGGGCCAGAGGCUGUUGACUUUCCCGUUACCAGUGAAAGCUAGCAUCAGUUAGUAGCCACUUCCCAUCGAUUGGCAGGAAAGCAGCUGCCAGACCCGGCAAAGUCACACGAGGACGCAGACUGGGCUCUCAUCAAACAAGCAAAGUAUCGGUAUUUGUCCCUGUGGAUGCAACACAACUCGAGGUGGCACAGCACCCACUUUUAAAGCCUCAACACCUUCUGCUGAUGGGUCAGGCAGGCAGCCGGCGUGGAGAACGCCACGACUGCGCUGACCUUCAGCGGCCUCGAGGGUAGCCAGGCGACUUUCUUUAUUAAGUAAACUUUAAUGUCGAAAGUGCAAACCUGGGGAGGACAGAAAAGAUCACACACAAGGUUGUCACUUCACACUUGGAAGGUUGCACAGCGGCCGGGCAGAGGCGCUCCUCACUUCCCAGACGGGGCGGCGGCCGGGCAGAGGCGCUCCUGACUUCCCAGAUGGGGUGGCCGGUAAGAGGCGCUCCUCACUUCCCAGGCGGGACGGCGGCUGGACAGAGGUGCUCCUGAGUUCCCAGAUGGGGCGGCGGCCGG
rnacentral:lncRNA from 10 species